CGGACCCGCAUUUCCACCAUUCAAAAUGGGAAGUGGAAAGCAAAAGAAAAAGAUAAUCCGAGUUAAGGCCACAACAAAAGCCUCUCUGCCUUCCAUAGAAAGUCCACUCCCUGUCCUUAGGAACUUAAGGAAAUCUGAUCUCGGCGCUGUUAUAUUUGGUUGCACGCACAACACAAUCAAUGAAUGCCUUUCCAAACAGUUGUUCGGUUGGCCAGGGACACACUAUUCUCAUGUAAAGAAUAUCAGCAAAGGACUUGUGCUAUUUUUGUUCAAUCACAGUGACCGUAAAUUU